UAGGCAGCAGUGGGGAAUUUUGGACAAUGGGCGCAAGCCUGAUCCAGCCAUGCCGCGUGUGGGAAGAAGGCCUUCGGGUUGUAAACUGCUUUUGUCAGGGAAGAAAUCCUCUGGGAUAAUACCUCGGGGGGAUGACGGUACCUGAAGAAUAAGCACCGGCUAACUACGUGCCAGCAGCCGCGGUAAUACGUAGGGUGCGAGCGUUAAUCGGAAUUACUGGGCGUAAAGCGUGCGCAGGCGGCUUUGCAAGACAGAUGUGAAAUCCCCGGGCUUAACCUGGGAACUGCAUUUGUGACUGCAAGGCUAGAGUACGGCAGAGGGGGAUGGAAUUCCGCGUGUAGCAGUGAAAUGCGUAGAUAUGCGGAGGAACACCGAUGGCGAAGGCAAUCCCCUGGGCCUGUACUGACGCUCAUGCACGAAAGCGUGGGGAGCAAACAGGAUUAGAUACCCUGGUAGUCCACGCCCUAAACGAUGUCAACUGGUUGUUGGACGGCUUGCUGUUCAGUAACGAAGCUAACGCGUGAAGUUGACCGCCUGGGGAGUACGGCCGCAAGGUUGAAACUCAAAAGAAUUGACG
rnacentral:rRNA from 1 species